rnacentral:lncRNA from 1 species
AAUACAUUACUACAUUAAUCACACUUUAUUCCUAGGCAAAAUACAAGAAAGAAGCACAUGCAGACUAUCCCUCAUAUAUACUAGUAUCUCCUUUUCUUAAAACAAAAGAAAUGAUGCAAAGAUGCAAUAAAAAACAUAAUCAAGGGUACAAGCUUGCAAAGCGUUCAUGAAAUAAAAUACAAAUGUAUGAGUUCCCCUAGGCAGAUCCCCAAACUGUCAUAUUUAAUGUCUACUAUUAGUUCAAUAUGUUAAUUUACAGGUGCUUCGGAAGAAGUGAGCCAGGCAGCACCAGAGCCGGUCCUCUGCACCGAAACAGGUGACUUCAAUGCCUACCUUUGUGAAGAAGGGUGAGCUCCCGGCUCUAAGGACGUGCUAAGAGCUGGAAGYGGCGGUGGGAAACUUCUGCAUUUCUUACUGGCUGUCCUUGGCAUCUCAGYGUGGUGGAUGCGGUGAACCACAAGUUGAGGAUCAUAUCUUUCCCUGUUCUGCCUGGCAUACUGCAGAAGCAUUGCUGUAUUCUUCCUGACAGGAAUACAGGUUACAGAUGCAGUUGCUGGACCCCAAUACAA